rnacentral:rRNA from 1 species
UACGGAGGGUGCGAGCGUUAAUCGGAAUUACUGGGCGUAAAGCGCACGUAGGUGGUUCGUUAAGUCGGAUGUGAAAUCCCUGGGCUCAACCUGGGAGCUGCAUUCGAUACUGGCGGACUCGAGUACGAGAGAGGGGGGUGGAAUUCCAGGUGUAGCGGUGAAAUGCGUAGAUAUCUGGAGGAACACCGGUGGCGAAGGCGCCCACCUGGCCUGCUACUGACGCUGAGGCGCGAAAGCUAGGGGAGCAAACGGGAUUAGAAACCCGAGUAGU